CUCCAGGCUGAACAGCCAAAAGACAUUGCAUGCAGUAUGUGUUACAUAUCCUGCUUCCGUACUGGGGCAUCCUGUGCUGCUUUGCAGAAGUCCGUAUAAGAAAACAAUCCUUCACGUCUCUGGUGUUCUGGAAGGAGUGGGUUUGAAAGUUGUGUCUGACCCUGACAGCAGCUUGCAGUCCCUCCUCCUGGCUGCCUGCAACUGAGAGCGCACACCUGAUGCAUUCAAACAGAAUGACUCCAUUCACUGAACGUGCAGUACCUAUUACAGCGCACUGAAGAACCUGUUCAGGCUUCUGGUUCCAGGAAGGGACUGGGAGUCUUAAUGAGUUUCCUAUUGUCCAGCACUUCCAUCUUCCCAGAUAAGUGGGCGUAGGUGAGUGCAAAAGAAGGAUUAAGCCACUGUAGCUGGAGAUGCCAAUACCAGUGUAUUGAAUCCACCGAGCCCUAGAAGCUGGCUUCAGUGCCUAAUUGGGGUACAUCCCGCAUUCAGCUGUCAUUCCCGCAGCAAAUGUUCACUCCAUGUUGCUAUUACAAAAACAUGGGACAAAGAUGUUACAAGGGCAUUCUUUUUCUUACGGAGACAUAGAUGUUGCUUCUUUUAUCCUUUUCUGCAGCAGUGUUGUUACCAACUGUAAGCCCUAAAGGCGGGCAGUGGGCAUUUGAUAGAACAGCAAGCUUGCUCCCAAGUCCACUGAAGCUGAUGGAAAAAGGAUCUCCUUUCUUUCAUCAGAUUUUGGAUCCUGCUCAAUGGGACCUAGUGGUUUAGAAAACAGGGCUUUUGUUUGUUUGUUUGUUUGUUUGUUUGUUUUGAGGUUUUUGAUGUGGAAUUUUUUUCCUCAUUCCUUUGUUACUUCUCCGUUUGAUUUUGUGACUAUAAAAUGCUUUUACAUGCCAUACCUCCAGUGACAAGAGGCUGAGGCAGCGCUACUCCUACCAUUUAUAUAACAUAAGAGAAGUUAAUUAAAAAGCUGCACAGCAGGGCUGGAACUGUUAGAAACUAGAAAGAGAGAGAGAAUGAGGCAGAACAGCAAACAGGAGCAGACUUCUGAUGUUCUUUGCACAUGAUGUUUUUUCACGUUGAAGUACUUUCAUGGCUGCUCCAUGAGCUUCUCAAAGAUCAACUCAUCUUGCACACAGGCUUUGCUGAAAGAUAAUGAGCACCUCCUAGCAAGAGUCAAUUAACAUGUAAUCUUUGACAUUUUGAAUCAUGAGCAGUUGCCAAAUGAUUUUCUCCCCUACACAGAAUGAAACCAAUUGCUUAAGUAUUGAGAAUUUGAUUUUGUUACAUUUUUCCAUAUUCACCCAGACUGCUCUGCUUUCCAGUGUCAUAGUGGGACAGUGCCCGAGUUUGUCCAACACUUCAUAGAAUCAUUACGGUUGGAGAAGACCACUAAGAUCAUCUAGUCCAACUAUCAACUGACUGCUCUUUGGAGGGACCUUGAGAAGGAUCUCCCAUUUAUCCAAAUUUAAGGCUAUGAGAAGGCGACAGAAUAACUUCAGUUAUUCUGGUCCACUUGCUAGAAAUGGUCUGAAAGUUUUUCAGUUCAUCUGAAAUCCUUGCAAAUAUUUUUAUAUGUAUUUGAUGUCCUUGCUGUCUUCCCUUACCAAUUCUGAAAGCCAAGCAAUAUAACAACACUCAUCAGAGUGCGAUUACCAUUUUUGUGUAUUAAUGAUGGUUGUGGAAGAAAGGCUCAAGAGAGCUCUCAACUGGAAAUGACUUUUGCAAAAGAAUUAAGGAAAAAAAAUGAAGUAUCUGGAUGCAAAAUCCAUGAAGAAGUGAUUUAAUGCAAGCAGCAUGGGCAACAAACAGGAGGAGCUGGAAGCCACUGUGUGAUGCAGCUCAAACACAUCUCCAAAAAGCAGGAACUGCAAUGUGGCAUCGACAAAAUAAACAUAAAAUAAACAGAAACAAUCACU
ensembl:lncRNA